rnacentral:tRNA from 1 species
GGGGUUGUAGCUCAGUGGUGAAGCGCUUGCCUUGCACGUGUGAGCCACUGAGUUCAAUACUCAGCACCACA